CUAUAAUCUAAUCUAAUAAUAUUUUAUCUUAUUUAUCGAGAAUUGGAAUACUUAAUUGUAUGUGUAUAAGAAUAUAUGCUGUGCUUUAAAAGUUCAAGUGAAUGGGUGUAAACAGUAAUAUUGUAGUAUUCAUUUGUUAUUUAUUUUAACUUUAUUCUUAUUGUAAUUAAAUAUUUUAAUAAUAUAAACUUCUUACUAGAAAUAUCUAUGUGUGUGUGACUACAAGUGCACAGCAACUUGAUUCUAGUCAAUAGCACCAUUUACACAAUGAAUCAGAAACUCCUUAUAGAAUACAAUUUCACACUUAAGUGUGUGAUGACACAUACCUUUUUUAACAUAGUAAUAGUAUAUUAAAGAUGUUCCAUCAAUUGAGUUCCAAAAUAAUGUAAAAGAUAAGAUGUGUAUUGGCGAUCCUGUUAACAGAAAAAGCUAUUGUUUCAAUGCCAGAUUUUACUGAAGGCAGGACACAAGUACAGAAUUGAAAAUGCAAUGAUGUUUAUCUUCCCCACAAACAUAUUUAAAAGAUGAAUUAUUUACCAAUUUUGUGCAUUUUUGAGCUUCUCUGCUUUACUCCCAGUAUCUGAACUGUCUUUUCUGAGAUCAUCACUGAAAAAGCUUUUCUUUUACACCAUAAAGGUGUGUGAUGAUUUGUGAAACCUGUGACUAUUCUAUGGAUUCAUCUUUCCUUGAUUUUUGAAUUAAUGUUUUCUAGGCCAUGAAUCAACAGCCCUAUUUUAUACAUUCAAAUUGUGGGAUUUUAUUUUCAAGAUAUUCAUGAUAACUGGCUCCUGAAGUUUUCAAAUGCAAAAACUAUACCAUCUCCUGAAUUCAGAAAUUCAAUGCUGUUCCAGAAAGAACUACAAAGAUAAACUGGCAAGAAGAAAAAUGACCCACCUGGCAGGGCUUAUCUCCCUCUAAUGUUUAAUUCUUAGCUCAACAUUCCAGGAAAUAACAUCACUUGAAAGUUUAUACAGAGUUCACAAAGAAAAAUUAUUUCUCUGCUAUCAUUUAGUUCUACUCCUACUGCUUAAAAGGCAAAUAUUCCUUAACGCCCCCCCCCCAUU